AACGAACGCUGGCGGCAGGCUUAACACAUGCAAGUCGAGCGCCCCGCAAGGGGAGCGGCAGACGGGUGAGUAACGCGUGGGAAUCUACCCAUCUCUACGGAAUAACGCAUGGAAACGUGUGCUAAUACCGUAUACGUCCUUCGGGAGAAAGAUUUAUCGGAGAUGGAUGAGCCCGCGUUGGAUUAGCUAGUUGGUGGGGUAAAGGCCUACCAAGGCGACGAUCCACAGCUGGUCUGAGAGGAUGAUCAGCCACACUGGGACUGAGACACGGCCCAGACCCCUACGGGAGGCAGCAGUGGGGAAUAUUGGACAAUGGGCGCAAGCCUGAUCCAGCCAUGCCGCGUGAGUGAUGAAGGCCCUAGGGUUGUAAAGCUCUUUCACCGGUGAAGAUAAUGACGGUAACCGGAGAAGAAGCCUCGGCUAACUUCGUGCCAGCCGCCGCCGUAAAAC
rnacentral:rRNA from 1 species